GUACCAGUAGUAGUAGUAGUAGUUUAGCCGUCGUCGCAAUAGUAAUAGUAGUGGUACUUGUGUCGUAGUAGUAGUCGUCUUCGUCGCGUUUCAAUCCGCGUCCUGCCUCACUGCGAGCCUGCGUGAGCCUUUCGAAUUCGCCAGAGCCCGGUCAACAGCCCCGAAUCUCUCCUCUCUCUCUCUCUCUCCCUCUCUCUCUCUCUCUCUCUCUCUCUCUCUCUCUCCUUCCCCUCGUUCGCUUCUCCCUGUCUCUCGUAAAUCAACGUAUCUCCCCCACUAAAGCAGUCGGCGUGUACCACCUCUUUUUACUCCGAUCGACCAGACUAUGUGUUCUCUCUCUCUCUCUCUCUCUCUCUCUCUCUCUCUCUCUCUCCUCUCAGUUUCUCGCUUUCUCGAUUUUACGGAUCACACCUAUUCCUUCUCUUUCGUUCGAUUCGUUCGUGUUUAAAUUUAAAAAAAGAAGAUACAGAAAAUAACGAUUUUGUCGAGCUGCUCCAUUUUAUAUGGGUCCACGAACGUGUAAAAAGAUGGAUGGAAUAUGAAAAGAGAAGAGGGUUUAGGAAGAUGGGUGGGUGGAUGGAGGCAGACGAUACGCCACGACCACGCCUAUGCGCAUCUCUCGACGGCCAGACGCCCUUUCUCCCUUUAACGCGUCUCGCACCCUCGCAACAGCCCUCUCGAUGUUCGACCAUGACCACCCUUCGGCAGACUGCGUGAGGGUGGUAGAGGAAGGUGACCUUCGUACGCCAUACCUUCAACGAGACUACAAGAGAGGAAGGGGGGAGGGAGAGAGAGAGAGACAGUAUACGUGUGCGUGUGAGAGAGAAUUCUGCGUCGUUCGGCGUUGUCGUUCGGCGUCGUUCGGCGUCGUUCGGCGUCGUUCGGCGUCGUUCGGAAAAUGGCGUUUUUAUAUUUCUUCGAUAUUUCACUCGAUUCAUUCUUUAAAGCGUCUUCUUCUCUGUAUCGAAGAAGACGACGAGUUCUCUUACUAUUUCCGACUAGCCGCACACGAAGCAGCAGAGGUGGCAAGUAGAUAAGGAUCGCAAGCCAGACCAGACGCGAUUCAGCAUUGAGUAGUUACAGCCGCCAUAUUUCUCACAAUACGCAUUUAAGUGUUUUUUACUUUGCCGAUGCAAGAUUCUCGUCAUUCGUUAUCCGUUGAUAAUGAUCACGCAACGCCAUGAAAAUAAAGAACGACGAGUGGGAGAAAGCUGCGCUAAAGAAAAUGUUUUGCCGAUGAAAAAGCAAAAAGGACUUUGGUAUUAAAGAAAAACUUGCGCGUUACAUAAAAACGACGAGAUUCUUAUAAAAUAAAACCAUCGUCGCCCACUAGCAAAUGCCUUUUUUCAUCUUUGCUCGCUUUGAUAUAACAUUUUUAUCUCUGAAAUCUUAGCUCUUGAAAGAUAUUCUUCGCACGAAUUUCGCACGAAAUAAACGUGGAUUAUUUUCUUUUUUUCACGAUGCAAAGGACAACAACAUUCGACAAACGUUCUCAACAAUUUUAUACACCGGUCAUUUUCUGUCCUCGAUUUCGUUCUUGUUUCGUUGUCGUCGUCCUUUUUUAGAUCACAAAUGAGCCAACGAAUACUAAAUUUGCAACGAUCAUUAUGACGACGACGAAGGUAGCAAUUUUUUUUCUUCAAAAAUUGUUUGAAUACAGGAAUGAUUUGAAAAUGUACAAUCGGCUCUGCGCAAAAAUAAAGCUAUUAAACAUUUUUCACGAUUUGAACAAUAGUAGUAGUAGAUUUGAACAAUAGUAAUUUAUGCAAUAAGUAAUAGAAACCUCGCUUAUUUCAUAUUUAAUUUUACACCUUCGUCGUUCGAUCUUCUUUCCUAUACUUGAAAAAAAAAAAAGAAA